CUGUUUUCCUCUGAGGAGAUAUCUGAAAAAUUUCAUCGGAUCACAAGCAAAGACCUCCUGGGGACCUUCAAUGCAUCCCUUGACAAAUUUGUGCCUGGCCUGCUGAAACUGUACCGGUCUAAGAAGGGAGCUCUUUGUGAGGAGAUGGAAGACCUCCUGGAUAAACUUGAUGAACAGACAUCCAACAUUGUGUCCAACUUGCACUGAGAGGCCUGCCUGCAUGUUUUUAAAGGAUGAGUUAAUCCAAAAUGGAAAUGUACACUUCCUCAGUGCAGGAAGUGUGGGGAUUGUGGGGAUUGCAGUUGUCAUAACUCUUACUCCUUUUUUUCUGCUGAGCAGCAGCUGGGCAUUGUUAGUGGUUGUUCCAUAGUAGAAAAUAUUUUUGUACAAAACUCACAAGGUGGCAUUAAUUAAAAGAAAAUAAGCUUUUUCUUCUUAAAACCUCCAUGAGUCGAACGACCAGCAUGGUAUAGAGGUUAAAGUUAAAAUCUUUAGAAAUUUGUUUUGUCUUUAGUUUUUCUUAGCUUUCAAUAAUUCAUAUUUUACUUUUCUUCGGGAC